CAAACGGCCCUUUUCAGGGCCACAAAUGAUCAAGA
rfam:Strongylocentrotus purpuratus Contig22719_fixed, whole genome shotgun sequence.